GGAUGGCUUUGCUGUGCUGGGCGGUGCACCUGUCAGCAACUCAUCAGCAGGUCCAGCCAGGUCUCCGCAAACUCCUGCCAGAAAACAGCCCUCUGUACAGCGGGCCGCCAGGGUGGACAGAACAGCGAGAACAUUGGCCGUGUCUAAUACCAGGAGGGCCCCACAGUCCUCCUCAGGUCCAAGGCAGCCUGAGAGAGCUUUGGCAGGAGCUCCCCCGCUGGAAAGGAGACGCCAACACCACACAAAGCCUCAAUCUGACCAGAGAAACCGAAACACAGCUAAACUAACAUCUGAGUCCGUUCAUGUGGUGUCACUGCAGGCACAGAGAUCCUUGGGCCGGAGCGCACCCGCCAACAGAGCCGUCGCAACCAAAACAACCACACCAGGU
rnacentral:lncRNA from 1 species